CGUUCCCGGGCCUUGUACACACCGCCCGUCACACCACGAGAGUUUGUAACACCCGAAGUCGGUGGGGUAACCCUUACGGGAGCCAGCCGCCUAAGGUGGGACAGAUGAUUGGGGUG
rnacentral:rRNA from 1 species